ensembl:lncRNA
AUCAGUCUGGGUGUGUCAGUUAUUUUUAUAUAUAUCCUUUUCCCCCUCAAGAUUGUGAACUCCUGGAGGGUAAAGACCAUGUGUUUUCACUUAGGGGAACUCAAAACAUGCUUAUUGAAGUUGGAAACAUGGCCUCUGAGGGCUAUGUUGAGAGUAGUACCUGCACGAGGUAGAUUAUGGCCAGUGCUUUGGAUCGGAGGCCUCUUCAGUCAUAACCAGACUUGGUGGGUCCAGCAUGAAACAACUGUUUCUGUUGAUGUAACUUCAAAAGGUUCCGGACAAUCCAUGUCAACCCUGGUUCACAGAAUCAACAAGCACAACGUCCAGGACUUUAUAAAUGUGGUUCAUUUGUUGACUUUCCCACUCCCACAGCGGGGACGGCUGAUUCUGAGCUCUGAACUCAUGUAAAAUGAAAGACAUGGAGACAUAGCAGGACAGUUGUGCCUCUCACCAUGCCUUCUCCAAGGGUGACUUCUGGAAGCUGCCCAGGCUGGUCAGCCACCCCGGCUCUUGACUGAUGGAAAAGCACAGUAUGGGCAGGAGAUUGAAGCUGAAGGAAAUGGUACCCUGGCUCUGGGUAGUUUGUUGUUAUUUUCUUCCUCUCUGGGAAGGAACAUGCCCAAUAGUCGCUGUGUGAAGCAGAGGUUCAGAUAUUUGGAAACAAGGAAAGUGAGGAUCUAGCUCCCCGUAAUGGGAUAUUUGAGCGAGAAUCACUCAGCAUGAGAGUUUCGUUCAUCAUGUGGCAAAGGGCUGUGCUGAUGCAAUUUUGGAGACGGAUGCAGUGAAGCUGAAGUGAGCAGUUUUUCUUUGCUUCAGUCUCCUGAUCUGAAGAGAUUCUGUCUCCUUCGAGCUUAAUCUUCGCUUUAUUCACUGCUCUUCUCAGGGGAGCCAAGGAUUUAGUUAAUCAAUUGGCCCUCUCUGGAAGGAGAGGAAAUGGUCUGUCACCACCACUGGAAGGAAUCUUCCCGCCUACCUCGUCCUGCCCCGUUUGUGGAGACAUUCAUUCUGUUGGCGUCUGGGGCUAAUUUAGUGUGUCCAGCCCACUCAUUCCAUUUCAUAGAGCCCAUGGAAGCUGCAAUGAUUGGAAAAGCAAGACUACAUUUUAAAAAUGGCUUCGAGCUUCAGUUGUUUGCGUGUGAAAUGCAGAAUAAUGCAAACUUUUUUCCUCUGCGACUAGCAGAGCAGUUAAUCUUGGCAGUUUUACAUAACAGAGCCUGAAAACAGACCGCCGCCCCACCCCCACCCCCCCCUGUGCAAUUUAUUCGAUGCUUACAAGUUGCCCACUGGGUUUUCAAUGAGAAAGAUAGUUUUGCCUUAAAUAAUUGGAUCAAACGAAAAAACGAGAGUGCUCCUCUGCCAGCAACAAUCUGGAGUCACUUCUGGGGCUGCUACCUGGUUAUUGCUGUGAAGUCGAGCCCAGAAUCACGACCUCUCAGACCCCACUGCAGUAACAGACCUGGUUUUUUCCUGAGAGGAUGAGAUCAGGGCAGGUGGAAGAUGCUCAGCGUGGACUCAGUCCUCUUCAUGCUUUUUUAUUAUCAAAAUAUUUAAGGGGCAAUUUGCAGCCCGGUGUGUGGGCACUUAACCACACGCCUCCUAUUACCACUGAUGGGAUUCCUGCAGCUCGGCCCCUGAGCUUCCAUUUACCCUUUAAUUUAAGAAGUUCUCCUGUCAUGGUGCUAUUAACAGCUGUUUUCUGAGAAAAACAACCAAUACCAAUGCACACACCCUCUUGCAUUUUCCUGUACCUGGGAUACACACCCAUCCGGAAAGCUUCCUCGUUUGACACCAAAUGAUGUGAGAGACUGAAUAUAUGAACAGACAGUGGCUGGGCCAUAUACACAAACAGAACUCUGAUCACAACCGGCAGCAGCCUACGCAGGAAACCAGCCCCUGUCUACAACAAACAGCUCAGGAAGCCUGCCUGCUAUGCCAGGCUUGCACAGAGCCAGAUUGCUCUCUCUGGUGACAAUCCAGGAAGCUAAAUAAUAACUUACGUAACAAUCCACUCAAAAUGGCCAGCUUCCCUAAUUUUUGGCCCUGCUUCCAACUUAGGACCAACCAGAGAAAGCCAAAUAUGCACCCCCAACCAACCCCACAGGACACCCCACUCCCGGUUAGCCCUCCUCCAGCUUCCCCAGGCCAACAGCCUCCAAUUGGGGCACCCCUGGAGCCUUUACUGUAAAGCUCUUCCACCCCUCUGCCUGCCUUUGAGUCUUGGCCAAACGCAAGUGGUGGUGGCUGCCUCCCUCUCUACAGCAAGCUCUGAAUAAACAGCCUUUGCCUAUUCUCAU